UAAAAUUUAUGUUAAACUGUAGUACGCUGCAUCUGCACAUAACUCUGGGCACGAAUCCCAACGUUCGCAUCACGCACGCCCGGUUAUAUUAUUCCCGGCUUCUCACCUUCAUUCAGUCAGGGCUUUGCAGUUCUUGAACAAUAUACCCGUUUUUUAGGAUCAUUCAUACAUAUAUAUUUAGCUUUAAGUAGUUCAAUCUUCUUGAAUUGACUGAACAAGUAGAAAUCUCCAAGUACAAGCUAUAUCACAGUUGUGAAAUUAACAUGGAGAACCCUGAUCUGUUGCCUUUUAAAGUUGGACAGUUGGCUGAGGCAAAGUCUUUUGAGAAGGGUUAUCGUGGUGCAUGGUUUAGAUGCAAGAUACAUGAGAUAUAUGUGAAGAACGGCCACAUUUGGCAUGCACUGGAAUAUAUUGAUUUCCCAGAUGAAAAAAAGAAGGUCAAGAAGUUAAAGAUCUACCAAUUGUCAGUUUGGAUAAAGAUGAAGGGAAAGGAGAAAGAAAGGCAACUAAUGGUGCGCCCACAGUAUCCUCGUACGUGCGAAGAAAUCAAUUUACCUCUUGUCAAGGGGAUCACAGAAGUAAGUAUAGGAACGGAUGAUGUCUGGAAAGUGGGUGAUAUGGUAGAUUGGUUGACUGAUGGCUGUUUUUGGACCGGAAGACUAACCGAAGUUCUUAAUGAUGGAAAAGCUGUGGUUACGUUAAUACCACCUCCUGUGGGUGAAGGCAGAACCUAUAUCGUCUCUUGCAAGGAUUUACGCCCAUCUUUAGAUUGGUCUCCGGAAAGCAGUUGGAGAGCUCCUAGUUUGCAGGAAGGUGAAAGUUACAGUUAUUCUCGCCUUAUGCAACAGCUGAAGCAAGGAAUAAAAAACACCGAUACACCUGCUGCGGGACAUAUGAAAUGUGACAUCGAUUACAAGGAUGAAGGAUCAAAGGAUUUUGUCGAUAAAACUGUAUCACCAGUUGAUGGUUCGAUCUCUUCUAAUAAUUCAGCAAACUCUUUACACACUGCCGAAAAAUCUGGCAGCGGGAAACUGAGGGACAUGUCAAGAGCAUCUGGGAGCAUUGUACCCAGGACACGUAGACUUGAGGACUUGGACAUGAGGGAUAGUGUUGUUGAGAAACCAAGUCUAUCAGAUAGUGUUUCUAGUUCACAUAUUAAAUGUGCUUCUAAUGAGACUGCUGUCCACACUGGCACUGAAGACUUAGAUAAUUCUGAGGGAGCGGUGAAGAAGGUUAAAACUGGCGGGAGUCCUCCUUUGAAUAUCGCGGUCUCUAACUCACUGGAUGCUGUGAUUAUGGAUUUAGAAGAACUUGCAAACAAGAUUCAGUGGCUGAAGGGCUUUUUAGAUUUUGGAAUUCCUUUGCCAAAUGGUACGACGCCUUCAUGGAAGCUUGUGGAACACCGAGGAUCUUCCACACCAAAAUGACUGCUUUCCAGAAAAAGCAAAUAUAGAUGGUGAAGAUCUAUUUUGUAUGCCCAUGUCAACUAUCAUAUCUGCAUCAUGUUCAGGGGCAGACUCAAGUUUAAAGAGAUGGAUCUGUAAUUGGUCGCAUUGGUAGACCUGCUGAAUAUAUCCAAAGGAAAUUGGGAAUUGUUUGGGCUGCUAGCAUAGUAUAGCUUGUUCUGUUGAACCUAUGGCUGAAGCUUUUGACAAAAUACGGUGAUAUUGCUUUUCCUCAAGGCUCGAGAAAAAGCAAAGGAAGAGUUGAAACAACUUGAUAUGCAUACAUGUAUUGUAACAGUUAAAGGUCUGUACAUAUAAUUAACGCGUUACUCGAUUGUUCACUGCAAGCUUGUUAUAUUCUAGUCCAAUUUUCGCGCA